rnacentral:rRNA from 1 species
UACGUAGGGUGCAAGCGUUGUCCGGAAUUAUUGGGCGUAAAGAGCUCGUAGGCGGUCUGUCGCGUCGGAUGUGAAAAUCCAGGGCUCAACCCUGGACCUGCAUUCGAUACGGGCAGACUAGAGUUCGGUAGGGGAGACUGGAAUUCCUGGUGUAGCGGUGAAAUGCGCAGAUAUCGGGAGGAACACCAGUGGCGAAGGCGGCUUCCUGGCCUGUUCUUGACGCUGAGGCGCGAAAGCUAGGGGAGCAAACGGG